rnacentral:tRNA from 1 species
GAUGAGAUGGCUGAGUGGAUUAAAGCACUUCUCUGCUAAAGAAGAAUGUAAUUAAUUUUACAUCGAGGGUUCGAAUCCCUCUCUCAUCA